CAAAAAUGUUGUAGAAUUUGCAAAUGCUGUGAGUGAAGAAAGCCAAGAAAAAAUUGCAAAAUCUUCAUACUUCGACUUACAGGAGAGUCUCGUACAGGUGGAAAUAAUACCAUCAGAUGCCAUAUUUAUGUAUGCUUUCCGGUGUGAUGAUGUAUCUGUUGGUUAUGAGGUGAAGAAAGGAGAUACCGUACCAUACACAAGGGUUAAGUUUGAUGAGUUUGAACCAGAAGAUGGUUUCAUCACAUUGUUGCUUUCACCCAGAAAGCUCCUUUAAGUUUACAGCUUUGCAGAAACACAAGCGAGACAAAAUUUGUUUGGCUCAAGAAUCUGCAUGUGUGCAGAUGAAGAUCUUUGCUUCUGUUUAAGUUGAUCCAUGAUCUAGCAUACUCGUAUUUGGUGCGACUAGACACACGGAAGUGGACUGGAAAAUGGUUCAAGCUAAAAAGGGCAUAACUUUCAUUACGUUUGAAGUUAUACGGGGAUAAGUAAUGGACACAUACGCCUCAACGAGCCACAUGAAUGGACAAAUGCUAUAGGCGGGUUUUCUGACUCUCAGCACCCAAUUUCGACAUCUAGAGCUCCAAUUUUGAACUCAAGGCUGUUAAUUUCAAGGAACCCUUGGAGCGGUUACAGGUUGCGCCUGGUGGCACUUGUCGUUCAUGGUCCAAGUUACAUACCUUUUAUUGGAAUUUAUAACCAAUGAAG